UCCCAGCUGGGAGGGUGGAGACACGAUUUUGAUGCCAACGGUCUGGCUUCAGAGUCCACACUAAGAGGGCCUGGCCCCGCGGAGUCCCAGCGGGAAACAGACGGCACCUUCCAACACGACUGAGGGAUCCGAUUUGGUGACGACCAUGCGGAGUGCCUGCGUGGACCGGCUCCCAGCAUCCUUCCUGCGACCUGAGCAAGUUCUUUCCCAAUGUGAUCAAGCAACAACCAGACGCAGAGGGAGCUGCCCAGUGAGCCACGGAGGAAAAGACCGGUUCCCAGCCACGCGGGCCGUCUUCAGCAGCUGUCACCCAGCCCUGGCUUCACCGUGACCUCAUCUCAUCCUAAUUACCAGGCCCGACCGAGAGACGCAACUCAGACCCCAGUAUCGCGAAGAGUCUGUGAUGGCAAGGCGUGUGGGCCUCUGCCCACGAGGGGCUCUGCCUCCAUCGCUUCUCCAGCAAGCUGGGAGCCACAGGUGGCAGGGAGAGAACCUCUGCCCUCCACCCGGGCUCCCCGACCUCCUCUGACACCCUUCCAAAGCGAGGCAGGAGAAGUUCUACUUAGCCACGUCUCACUAGCGAGCCGCUACUGUGGCUUAACGAUCGUAGCCACGUGGGGUACAUCUCUUAAACUUUGUGCUCCCAGGCAAGGAGCACACCUUUCUAAGGCUGUCCCCUCGGACAGACUUCGGCGACCGUCCUCGCUCUCAGAUCGCUGCAGGACACAGGCCGGCCAAGCUCACCAGUUGGGCGCGUGAGUUGAGGGCGACUUUCUAGACUUGGACACUGUUGAUGGGCGAGGCGUCUGGCUUCCUUCCCUUCAUCCUCUGCUCAGGAGUGUUCAGCAUUUCUAUUUUUAUAAGAGAACCGUGACUGCAAGGUAUUAGCAUAGUCUGAGCUAUUGGCAAUAUGGUACUUUUCUCAUUUUUGCCUGUUACAGCUUGGACGUAGCGCUCCUCUUGUUAGAUCUCCAAAGUGAGAAUGAGCGAGCAGCAGGCCUCUAACUCAGGCCUGAUGCCCUCCUGGGCUUGACCUUGAACGCUGGGUUUUAGGACAUGAAUGGGAGAAUAGACAUGGAUGGGUUAGAGAGGUGAGUACACGCCAGAAAGUAACACGCACUCUUGCCAUCCCGAGGGGUCGGGACUGUCCUGCAGAGUAGCGCUUCUCAGAAUGCGACCCAGAGACCACCUGUACAGAGCAGCCUGACAUGUUUGCCAACAAUGUUAUUCUUGAGCCCCGUUCCCAGGUCUACAGACUCUGAAUCUUUGUGGUGGAUCCAGGACCCCACGUAGUCACAAGAUGCCUGGGUAAUUCUCAAGCGCUCUUUACUUUGAAAACAAUGGCACCAUUGAUUGAGAGGUUCAUUCAAGAACCUAAACCAAGGGAUGACGUAAUCAGAUUGAUCACUUUGGUUGCACUUUGUGGGACGUAUUUUAAAAACUGGAGGCCAGACAAGUGAUUAUCGUAAUACUCCAGGUGAGGAAUGAUGAAGGUCUGAACUGAGCACCAGCGGUGGGGCUGCAGCUACCUGAGGAGGUCAGCUCUGGAGUUUCCAACUUGAGUGAUUGAGUCAAUAAAGGAUAAUUAGGGGGAUUCAAAGGAAAUGUAACUUGCGGAGGAAAAUUCUUAGUUGCUUUAGAUAUGCUGAGUUUGAGGAGCCUGGGGUUACCCCGAGGGGAGCAGUCCAGGGGGAGGUUGGACGGAAGUUUGGACUCAGGAGGAAAUUCUGAACAAAAGAUACAGAGAGACGGGGAAGGAAAUCCUUGGCGCGGAUGUGAUUUCUCAGGAAGUAUUCGAGAGCAAAGAAAAAGCCUGAGGACAAAAUGUUUAGGACUGUCAACAUCAAAGGGCGAAGCAGAAGAAAAGUUGCCUGAUGAAUGGGGCUUAAAAUUAGGGAAAGUAACUUUUUUAAUGUCCAUUUUAUUUUUUUUUAAUUUGAAUACAAAGUGUUUUAAUAAACAAGAAUGUAACCACUGCUAAAUUAUCCAUAUGCUGAGUCAAGGCAAAAAUGUUACCCUGAUUAAAAGAACAUAGACAUGAUAGUCCAUGAAGCCAGUGGGAUGAAGUUAAAAAUAAGAGU